UAUAGAUGUCCUUUUGCACUUAAAAAUACAUCCAGAAAAUUACUUCACAUCAGUUAAUAGAGCUCUUCCUUAUUCAUUUUACAGCUGUAUAUGGAGUACCCAGCAUUCUUAAGUGUCUAUACAUACAAACUGAUGAGAACGACUAAUUUAAUCAUUGAUUGCGAUGACUACUUAGAUUUGAAUCAAAACAAACUGCCACAUGACUUGCUGCCUGAAUUUUGAUCUCCUCCCUGGCUUCAUGAAUCAGGAUAGACGUCUCUAACUUAGUUUCACCCACAUGCUCUUGCUGGCAUUUAUCACUUUCUCCCUGUUAUUUCUUACUUGAGUUGGCUUCUGUUUCAUCUGUGAUCUUAUGUUUAAAUCUGAGUCACUAGUUUCUGGCUCAUGCAUUCUCUGUCUUGCCCCAGGCACCUUUCAUCAAUAUUGGCUUCGCUUUGGCAGCACCAUGACUCCCAGCUUGUGUGUCAGUUUCUCUGUAAACUCCACCUCCACCUCCACACCACCCCCUCAUCCCCCACCUCCCGCCGGCCAAGGUGGUCUUGCUUUUACCACGGUAUCUAGUCUAGCUGGGUCUAGUCCAGCUGACUCUACUCCAGAUUCUAUCUUUUGUCUCUGACUUCUCUACAGUAUUCACUCUUAACAAAAUACCUGGGAUACUGUCCAAUUUGCAGCAUAAGGCCAGGCUUUAAAAUUUAGCACAUUUUUAAAAAAGAAGCUUACUUCUUUUUGACUGUAUCUUUGCAAUGCUUUUACUCUAUUCAUUUAGGACGCUGUUAAAGCAGCUCCCUGAUGAAAUUCAUCCAUUAUGGUAAAUGUUUUCACUUCACGGAAACCUACUGAAAUGGAAAGUAUUUUGAAAAUAAAUGAAACAUUCACUAUUUUUGAAGACUAUGCAUGGCCAGAUUCAGCAAAUGUUGAUGGCUUGGAAAUUCCUGAUACUUUAAAGGGAAGAGGAAAAAAACUACAGUUCCAUGCUAGAAGGUUCUUAGCCUCGCACAUCUUACCUCAUUUUUACAGAUGCAGUAAUUAAGACCCUGAUUAAUUGUUCCAGGAAGUCUAACUCAUCUGAAAAGCAAACUUUCCAAUUAUCCAAAUAACCUUGAACACAUAAAUCAAAAUGCAGAAAUGAUAUUUCUACAUUUUGCUCUCUUCUCACUAAAAUGUUCUGAGAUCCUCUUCAUUGCCUCUUUCUGUUGACACACAUAACAGUUUAGACACCAAAAUUUGAGCUUUAGGAAAAGCAGGGGUCAGCCAUUAGACGAAAGAAGUGGAACACAUGUGCAGAGAAUAUUUGUGAUAAAACAAGCCAUUUCAUUAUCCACAUGCAGUUUGAGCCUUUCUACUACUUUCUCAUCUUUGGCAGAAAUCAAUUUGACUCUUUCACAUCAAUAGAACAUCUCCUGCAUGAACCCCUGAGGUGGGUAUAUAAAGGGUAUCUGAUUUUUUCAUUAAUACAAAGCUAUUAAAGCCAUAAAUAGGGCUUAACAGCAUUCAACGUUCAUUGCAGAAGGGCCUCUCCAGCAAAGCAGUACACAGAAAAAAGACAAUUUCCCAUUAAUUCUGGCAUUUAAAGGUGGGAAAUGAUCUGAAAAUUAUACCACGGAAAUGUAGGUUCUAAAGAUGAAAUGGCACAGUAGUGGUCAGGGCUGAAAAAUUCACUUUUUUUCAGAUCAGGUUUAAUUUUGCUCAUACUAUAAAUGCAUACACACAUAUUCGCUACUCUAAAAAUACACUGUGUAUAUUUACUUGCCACAGAUGUCUGAUGAGUCACUGCACAAUAUGUUUGGGAUAGGUGAAAAUGAUUUGAACAUCUAAUGGAAUAGCAACUAAAAUAAAUAUAGUAUUUUAAAAUAAAUUACAGAGGUUAAACAUCCUGAGGCAUUUUCAGGUUAACUCCGCCUAGUUGAAGAACAUGGUGCUCAGGGUCAUCUGUCUUUCUUCUCUGCAUUUCUCAGUGCUCAGGAUCCUCAUGUGAAACAUCAGGUGGCAGCUUGUCCUACCAAGUAGUGUCUGAAAUACCCCAUCUUCUUUCUGAAUGUUUCUUUGUUGAGACAAAAAGGAUAGAAGAAAACAGAAGACAGGCCACUGAAACAUGGAAGGAGGGCGAAAUUCUCCAAAGGAAUCCAAAGAAGAGAAGAGAAUUCUGUCACUGGAAAACAAACUCAAUAGGUCGCAUCUCUGGUUUGGAUAGUUUACAACAAUAACGGUUUCUACCAACAACCUUCAAUUUUAUCUUCUUUUGUGGAAUACCUUAUAACUUCCUUUAUGUGAACGAGCACAAGCAAUAAAUCUAAUAAAUUGCUCAUGCUCCCUAAAACCUAUUUGUGGCACUUGAAGGUUUUAUGAAUUUCUGUGAAAGUUUUC
ensembl:lncRNA